CCAAUAGCGUAUAUUAAAGUUGUUGCAGUUAAAAAGCUCGUAGUUGAAUUUCAGGCCUGGCUGGACGGUCCGCCUUUUGGGUGAGUACUGUCUGUGGUCGGGUCCUACCUUCUGGCGAAGCGUCAUGGCCUUAACCGGCCGUGGCGGGGAACCAGGACUUUUACUGUGAAAAAAUUAGAGUGUUCAAAGCAGGCAGUCGCUUGGAUACAUUAGCAUGGAAUAAUGGAAUAGGACAAUGGUUCUAUUUGUUGGUUUCUAGGACCGUUGUAAUGAUUAAUAGGGAUAGUUGGGGGCAUUAGUAUUCAAUUGUCAGAGGUGAAAUUCUUGGAUUUAUUGAAGACUAACUACUGCGAAAGCAUUUGCCAAGGAUGUUUUCAUUAAUCAAGAACGAAAGUUAGGGGAUCGAAGACGAUCAGAUACCGUCGUAGUCUUAACCAUAAACUAUGCCGACUAGGAAUCGGGCGAUGUUGACAAAAUGACGCGCUCGGCACCUCAUG
rnacentral:rRNA from 1 species